CUCUCUUUUCUUAUUCUUCUUUUAAUUUUUCUCUCUAACAUUCUUCCAAAUCAAUUCCACAGAUUUUCGAUUCAAUAUAUUAAUAUUUUCUACUAUUCUCAUUUAAUUUCGUUGCAAGAUUUGAUUUGAAGAUUAACAAUGAUUUGGGUUCCGCUUCUAAGGAGGAUAUACGACGGAGAAAAAUGCCUGAAUCCGUCGAUGUGCAAAAUCCCACACAAAUUCAUAACCAUGAAGUUGAAGAAGACCAAUUUGUUGGAGAAGAGGUUUUUUUUACAUGUUCUGCGUCUUGCAUGUUAGUUUAAUUUGUUUAGUAAUUUUUAAGAUUAAAAAAAGUUCAUGUUACAAUGCGUUUGGAAGUGUAUAUGGAAUUUUUAUUGUGUUAUAGUUAGUAUUUAUUUUUAUAUUUCAUA